rnacentral:rRNA from 1 species
CAAUAGCGUAUAUUAAAGUUGUUGCGGUUAAAAGCUCGUAGUUGGAUUUCUGCUGAGGACGACCGGUCCGCCCUCUGGGUGAGUAUCUGGUUCGGCCUGGGCAUCUUCUUGGAGAGCGUAGCUGCACUUGACUGUGUGGUGCGGUACUCCGAGGUACUUUUACUUGAAGGAAUUAGAGUGUUUCAAGCAGGCACACGCCUUGAAUACAUUAGCAUGGAAUAAUAAGAUAGGACCUCGGUUCUAUUUUGUUGGUUUCUAGAGCUGAGGUAAUGAUUAAUAGGGAUAGUUGGGGCGAUUCGUAUUUAACUGUCAGAGGUGAAAUU